rnacentral:rRNA from 1 species
AGCAGUAGCCGCGGUAAUACGUAGGGUGCAAGCGUUAAUCGGAAUUACUGGGCGUAAAGCGUGCGCAGGCGGUUUGUUAAGACAGAUGUGAAAUCCCCGGGCUCAACCUGGGAACUGCAUUUGUGACUGGCAAGCUAGAGUGUGGCAGAGGGGGGUGGAAUUCCGCGUGUAGCAGUGAAAUGCGUAGAUAUGCGGAGGAACACCGAUGGCGAAGGCAGCCCCCUGGGCCAACACUGACGCUCAUGCACGAAAGCGUGGGGAGCAAACAGGAUUAGAUACCCCCGUAGUCCCUGUCUCUUAUAA